AAGCUCGUAGUUGAAUUUCGAGGGUGAUUUGGCCGGGCCUACUUGGCUUGUCUGAGUAGGCAUUCUGGAUCCAAGGGCCCUGUACCACUUUCUGGGGAGCUAGUCUACUCUUUAUUGAGUUGGGUUAGGGAGCCAGGACUUUUACCUUGAAAAAAUCAGAGUGUUCAAAGCAGGCAUAUUUGCUCGAAUACAUUAGCAUGGAAUAAUAGAAUAGGACCAUGGUUCUAUUUUGUUGGUUUAUAGGACCAAGGUAAUGAUUAAUAGGGACAGUUGGGGGCAUUUGUAUCGGAUCGUUAGGGGUGAAAUCCUUGGAUCGGUCCGAGACAAACUAAUGCGAAAGCAUUUGCCAAGGAUGUUUUCAUUAAUCAAGAACGAAAGUUAGGGGAUCGAAGACGAUUAGAUACCGUCGUAGUCUUAACCAUAAACUAUGCCGACUGAGGAUCAGACCAUGUUAUUUAUAUGACUGGUUUGGCACUCUACGAGAAAUCAAAGUUUUUAGGUUCCGGGGGGAGUAUGGUCGCAAGGCUGAAACUUAAAGGAAUUGACGGAAGGGCACCACCAGGAGUGGAGCCUGCGGCUUAAUUUGACUCAACACGGGGAAA
rnacentral:rRNA from 1 species